CGCUGGCGGCGUGCUUAACACAUGCAAGUCGAACGAGAAGAGAUGAGAAGCUUGCUUCUUAUCAAUUCGAGUGGCAAACGGGUGAGUAACGCGUAAGCAACCUGCCCUUCAGAUGGGGGACAACAGCUGGAAACGGCUGCUAAUACCGAAUACGUUCUUUUUGUCGCAUGGCAGAGGGAAGAAAGGGGAAGGCUCUUCGGAGCUUUCGCUGAAGGAGGGGCUUGCGUCUGAUUAGCUAGUUGGAGGGGUAACGGCCCACCAAGGCGACGAUCAGUAGCCGGUCUGAGAGGAUGAACGGCCACAUUGGGACUGAGACACGGCCCAGACUCCUACGGGAGGCAGCAGUGGGGAAUCUUCCGCAAUGGACGAAAGUCUGACGGAGCAACGCCGCGUGAACGAUGACGGCCUUCGGGUUGUAAAGUUCUGUUAUACGGGACGAAUGGCGUAGCGGUCAAUACCCGUUACGAGUGACGGUACCGUAAGAGAAAGCCACGGCUAACUACGUG
rnacentral:rRNA from 1 species